rnacentral:rRNA from 1 species
AGUGAACGCUGGCGGUAGGCCUAACACAUGCAAGUCGAACGGCAGCACAGUAAGAGCUUGCUCUUACGGGUGGCGAGUGGCGGACGGGUGAGGAAUACAUCGGAAUCUACUUUUUCGUGGGGGAUAACGUAGGGAAACUUACGCUAAUACCGCAUACGACCUACGGGUGAAAGCAGGGGAUCUUCGGACCUUGCGCGAUUGAAUGAGCCGAUGUCGGAUUAGCUAGUUGGCGGGGUAAAGGCCCACCAAGGCGACGAUCCGUAGCCGGUCUGAGAGGAUGAUCAGCCCCACUGGAACUUGAGACCGGUCCCGACUCCCACGGGAGGCCGCCGUUGGGAAUUUUGGGCCAUGGGCGCCAGCCUGAUCCAGCCAUACCGCGUGGGUGAAGAAGGCCUUCGGGUUGUAAAGCCCUUUUGUUGGGAAAGAAAAGCAGCAGGUUAAUACCCCGCUGUUCUGACGGUACCCAAAGAAUAAGCACCGGCUAACUUCGUG